rnacentral:rRNA from 1 species
CCUACGGGAGCUGCAGUGGGGAAUAUUGGACAAUGGGCGAAAGCCUGAUCCAGCCAUGCCGCGUGUGUGAAGAAGGCCUUCGGGUUGUAAAGCACUUUCAGUGGGGAAGAAAGCCUUGGGGCUAAUACCCUCGAGGAAGGACAUCACCCACAGAAGAAGCACCGGCUAACUCCGUGCCAGCAGCCGCGGUAAUACGGAGGGUGCGAGCGUUAAUCGGAAUUACUGGGCGUAAAGCGCGCGUAGGCGGUCUGAUAAGCCGGUUGUGAAAGCCCCGGGCUCAACCUGGGAACGGCAUCCGGAACUGUCAGGCUAGAGUGCAGGAGAGGAAGGUAGAAUUCCCGGUGUAGCGGUGAAAUGCGUAGAGAUCGGGAGGAAUACCAGUGGCGAAGGCGGCCUUCUGGACUGACACUGACGCUGAGGUGCGAAAGCGUGGGUAGCAAACAGGAUUAGAUACCCCAUUAGUC